UACGGGGGGAGCAAGCGUUGUUCGGAUUUAUUGGGCGUAAAGGGCGCGUAGGCGGCGCAACAAGUCACUUGUGAAAUCUCCGGGCUUAACCCGGAGCGGCCAAGUGAUACUGUCGUGCUAGAGUGCGGAAGGGGCUACUGGAAUUCUCGGUGUAGCGGUGAAAUGCGUAGAUAUCGAGAGGAACACCUGCGGCGAAGGCGGGUAGCUGGGCUGACACUGACGCUGAGGCGCGAAAGCUAGGGGAGCGAACGGG
rnacentral:rRNA from 1 species